UUUCCGUAGGUGAACCUGCGGAAGGAUCAUUAUCAAGUACAGCGGGCUUCGGCCCUGUCUGCACCCUUGUCUUUUGCGUACCGUAUGUUUCCUCGGCGGGCUUGCCUGCCGGUUGGACAUUAUCAAACCUUUUUGUAGUUGCAAUCAGCGUCAGAAACAAAACAAUAAUUACAACUUUCAACAACGGAUCUCUUGGUUCUGGCAUCGAUGAAGAACGCAGC
rnacentral:misc_RNA from 1 species